rnacentral:ncRNA from 1 species
CAGAAAGUGUUGAAAAAGAGGAGUAGCACAGGGGAACUGUUCAGAGAGUUGGCGGGUGGUGCAAGCCAAUCAGGGACCUGUGUGAAUGGACUUUGGAGCUUUUUUUCCGAACGGGGCAUGAGUCCUCAGUAGGGAAAAACGGGAAGACCGUUAUCUGUUGAGUGCACCUUGAUUUCUCAGGUGAACGAGGGUGGUAUCGCGGGCAAAAACCCGUCCCUUUU